rfam:Triticum aestivum genome assembly, contig: Triticum_aestivum_CS42_TGACv1_scaffold_576772_7BL
AAAAUACUCCCUCCGUCCCAAAAUAAGUGUCUCAGCUCUAGUACAACUUUGCACUGAAGUUAGUACAAAGUUGAGACACUUAUUUUGGGACGGAGGGAGUAUUAU